AGACAGUGAGGAUGUCGGCUUAGAAGCAGCCAUCAUUCAAAGAAAGCGUAACAGCUCACUCACUAAGAGAAUUUGCGCCGAAGAUAAUCGGGGCUCAAGUUAUGUACCGAAACUGAGGAUGUCGCCACCCUUCGGGGUCGCGACGUGGUAGGAGAGUAUUCCAAUCGCAAUGAAGCCGAAGGGGUGACCCACGGUGGAGCGUUUGGAAGUAAGAAUGUUGGCACAAGUAACCACAAUGCGGGUGAGAAACCCGCACGCCGAAAGACCAAGGUUUCCUUCUCAAUGAUUGUCAGAGAAGGGUUAGUCGGGCCUAAGCGAAUGGCGAAAGCCGCACGCGAUGGACACAUGGUUAAUAUUCCAUGACUUAUAUAACAUGCGAUGGGUUGACGGGGUGCAGUAUGUCGCGCCAAUUAUUGGAUUUUGGUUCGUGCCGUAAGGAUGGUUUCGAGGUAAAUCCCGGAACCUCUCUUUAAUGAGGACUCCAAGCGGAGCGAAAACUGUGCAUCUCACAAAGCCGAGAUGCUUGAAAUGUAAAAUGUAAGUCUCAAAAUGAAAAAUUGUCGGGUGAUUCGCCCUGGCGAAUCACAAUUCCAGUCAGGAUUUGUCCCGCUUCGCGGGACGCUGCAAUUUUGCACUUUGAUUUUUUAAUUUUGAUUUUGAGCACCGAAGUUUUGUGAGGUGCAUAGAAUGCAACAAAGCGCGCUUCCAAGAAAAUUCUCUAAGCAUAAUGUUAUGUAAUCCGUACCGCAAACCGACACAGGUGGUCAGCUCGAGUAGAGUAAGGCGAACGAGUGAAGGUUCUCCAAGGAACUCGGCAAAAAAGCAGCCGUAACUUCGGAAUAAGGCUUUCCUGGUCGUGCCUCAUUGCAUUUGGCACGCCCCGCAGACUCACGCGGAUUUGACGCGGACUAACGCAGAAGGAAUUCGGGGAUUUGUUCCCGUAUUUUGUCAGCGUGGUCUGCGUACAGUCUGCGAUGUCAGCGAGGCGCGAACGAGUGUAGCGAGGCGCGACUAGGACGCAGCUAAAGUAUGCUUGGCAACUGUUUAUCAAAAACACAGCUCCCUGCGAACUCGUAAGAGGAUGUAUAGGGGGUGACACUUGACCAAUGCCAGAAGGUCAAAUAUCGACGUCAUGCAUCUCACAAAGCUGAGAUGCAGAUUCAUGAAUUUAGAUUCACGAUUCACGAAAGGGAGCGAUUCCAUUCUUGAUUCUUGAAUCUUCAAUCUAGAUUCUGCACCAAGGUUUUGUGAGGUGCACGGUGAUUGAUAUAAGCCCUGGUGAAUGUCGGCCGUAACUAUAACGGUCCUAAGGUCCAGCACCUUUAUUGUUUACAAUAAAGGUGCUGGAUGACUGGGACUGUUGUAGGGCAAAGUGAUAAUUUUUGAGAAACUUAAGUUAAAUCAUUACAUAAAAAAUGCUACCUUGUCGCAGAGCAAUCUGUGGCAUAGUCAACGCUGGUAACAAGAGACCAACCCAGCGCACCCUCUCCCCGAAGGAGAGGGUGAAGAUAGAGUCCUUCUGUGUUUAAAGGAACGGAAGAGCGAAGUUCCUUGUCGGGUAAGUUCCGACGCGCACGAAUAGUGUAAUGACUGAGCAACUGUCUCGGAGAACAGCUCGGUGAAAAUACAAUACCGGUGAAGAUGCCGGUUACCUGCAGCUAGACGAAAAGACCCCAGAAGCUUUACUACAACUUGAUAUUGACUGUAUGUUUUUGAUGCGUAGCGUAGAUGGGAGGAUUUGAAGUUUAUCUCUCGGGAUAGGCGGAUCCGACAGUGAAAUACCAUUCUUUAAAAAUAUACAGUCUAACCGCGGCGGCAAAAACGUCGCGAAACAGUAUCUGGCGGGUAGUUUUAGUGGGGCGCUAUCCUUCAAAGCGCAGACUUACGCAGACUGGACGCGGACUUACGCGGACGGGGAAUUGCGGAGUUGUGCUUUGAAACUAUGGCGCCUCCAGAAGUCUUAUCCACUUCAAAACAAAUAAAUUUAGAGGGUCCCCCACCACUUUUGUAAAUAGAAAUUUCUAUAAUUCAAAAGUGGUGGGGGAGGAAUCAGCUAUAUGCUGGAAAAUCCGAGUAUCUUCAGGUACUUGGGAGUCGGACUCCCAAGUGAAAAUCUUGAAGUGCGGACAAUCAGCAGGAAAUUACAGUAUCCAGUGAAGGGAAAAAUGAAAAAUGAAAAAUAAAAAAAGUAAAAAUAAAUCAGUUUUGCGUCUCCCUGAUAUGAUCUCAAUGGGCGAUGCUGAACUUCGGAUGAGGCACCAAUUCGUUCUUCAUGGAAAAUCCUGGGACACGAAAAUCAAAUAGUUCAUUCGCUUUUUUGGGCGAACACGAGUUUCGCCCCUUUCAUUGGGUAUUGUAAAAUCUUCAGAGACUACACGCUGAUCUCCUGAUGUAAAAAUCAGGAUGAAUGUAUAGUCCGUCCUGCAUGGCGACAUGCAGAGGCAGGCAGAAAUGUCCUGCCCACGUUCGAUUUCAGAUUCUGCGACUGUCUGCGUACAGUCUGCGUGAGUCUGCGGUUGUACGAAGUAACAACACAGUCUAAAAAGUAACGAAGGAGUCCAUUAAGGUCCUCUAGGCGCGAAUGGAAACCGUGCCGAUAGUGCAAUGGCAUACGAGGGCUUGACUGUGAGGCGUACUUGCCGAACAGGCGCGAAAGCGGGGCAUAGUGAACCGACGGUCCGUGUUAGAGGCGGCCGGAGAUUAUCGGAUAAAAGCUACUCUGGGGAUAACAGGCUAGUUCCGCCUAAGAGUCCAAAUCGACGGCGGAGUUCG
rnacentral:ncRNA from 1 species